rnacentral:rRNA from 1 species
UGAACGCUGGCGGCGUGCCUUAAGCAUGCAAGUCAAGGGGGUGUAGCAAUACACAACCGGCGGACGGGUGAGUAACGCGUGAGAAUCUACCUCGAAGUGGGACAUAGCCCUCCGAAAGGAGGGGUAAUUUCGCAUGUGAUCGUAAGAUUAAAGCCGCAAGGCGCUUUGAGAUGAGCUCGCGUAAGAUUAGCUAGUUGGGGGGGUAAAGGCCUACCAAGGCGACGAUCUUUAGCUGGUCUGAGAGGAUGGUCAGCCACAAUGGCACUGAGACACGGGCCAUACACCUAUGGGUGGCAGCAACUGGGAAUAUUGGACAAUGGGCGAAAGCCUGAUCCAGCGACGCCGCGUGGAGGAUUGAAGGCCUUCGGGUCGUAAACUCCUUUUGCAUAGGAAGAUUAUGACGGUACUAUGCGAAUAAGCACCUGCUAACUACGUGCCACAAGCCUCGGUAAUACGUAGGGUGCAAGCGCUAUCCGGAUUUAUUGGGCGUAAAGAGUUGCGCAGGCGGAACUGUACAUUUUAUUAGAAAGCCCACGGCUCAACCGUGGAUUUGGGUAGAAUAUGGCAGAUCUAGAGAAAAAGAUAGGGUACUGGAACUGAUCGUGAAGCAGUGAAAUGCGUUGAUAUGAUCAGGAACACCAAAGGCGUAGGCAGGUACCUGGCUUUUUUCUGACGCUC